UACGGAGGGUGCAAGCGUUAUCCGGAUUCACUGGGUUUAAAGGGUGCGUAGGAGGGCAGGUAAGUCAGUGGUGAAAGCCCGCGGCUCAACCCGGGAACUGCGUCCGAUACUGGCAGGCUUGAAUCCGGGAGAGGGAUGCGGAAUUCCAGGUGUAGCGGUGAAAUGCGUAGAUAUCAGGAGGAACACCGGUGGCGAAGGCGGCCUUCUGGACAGUGACUGACGCUGAGACGCGAAAGCGUGGGGAGCAAACAGG
rnacentral:rRNA from 1 species